UACAGAGGGUGCAAGCGUUAAUCGGAAUACUGGCGUAAGCGUGCGCAGUCGGUUAUUUAAGUCGGAUGUGAAAUCCCCGGGCUCAACCUGGGAAUUGCAUUCGAUACUGGAUGGCUAGAGUUCGGCAGAGGGAAGUGGAAUUCAGGUGUAGCGGUGAAAUGCGUAGAUAUCUGAAGGAACAUCAGUGGCGAAAGCGACUUCCUGGACCAGAACUGACGAUCAGGCACGAAAGCGUGGGGAGCAAACAGG
rnacentral:rRNA from 1 species